GGAAGCCAUCAAAAAUGUUGCUCCUGUAGGACAGGUAUCCCCUCCAUCCAAAGGCAAAUAUCUUGACGCUCAUUUCAGAAAGAUGUUUUCCUACACCUGGUCUGGUGUUCCGUUUGGUUGUAAAUUCUUCCUGGAGGAGGACGUCGGCUGGUAAAAUGCUGUCAUCAAAUUGUUCUAACUCUCCUAUUAUUUUAAAUGUUUCGUGAACAUAUAAAAUAAUCCUACAUCAGUUCAUCUGUUUCUUUUUUGUGUAUCUGCUCUGUCUUCUCAAAACCCCAAUUGGUCAUGGCAGAUGGCUGCUUGUACUGAACGAGAACGAGGCUCUGUUGCUGGCAGUAUGUGAGAGCUUUCAGUGCCUAAGGACAUGGAAAGCAGCUCGGAUCCCCAGCCGUCUCCUAAUGAUGGAUGUCUGGACCGACAUCUGGACAAAAACAUGAACAGUCAGCCAGUAUGUUGAGGUUGCAGUGCUAAUGAUAAGUGGGUGAAUUAGCUCAUCUCAGACCUGUUUAUGCUAAACUAAACACUAGAACAUGUCUCCCUGGUUGUAGGUGGAAGGAGGUGGGAUGCCUGUAUGGUGGGAUUCACAAGGGUGAAUCCCACCAUACAGGCACCAAGAUGAGAGGCAAUAAGUAUGCCCACUUCUGUCCAGCGCCUCUCACCAGGGGCAACUCCAGAAUGGAAGAGUGUCUCAAGGAGAAUGGUUCCAGAACCAGAGCCUUGCGUUGAGGUGAGACCGACUAUUUCUAGCCAGAAUCUCUACCUCACACACUCCUUCCCAAACAGCGAUGUGACAUUCCUUGUCCCAAGAGGCAGCUUCUGUAGCCGAGAAUCAAUGUGGUAUGGGGUACCACCCAUCCCACACUGCACCUGACCCCUUUGACACUCCUACAGAUGGUGAGUUCAUGGGAAGAGGGAUCCACGUCUCCUCCUUGGGCUAUGCUCGACUGAACUCCAUGAGUUAAAGCCCACCCAACAGGUGCUCUCCAACACGACCCACCUCCAGGCCUGCCUCCAAAGCUUUUUUGUUUUCUUCAUCUAUACUGAACAAAGUAACAUUCCUUAUAACAUUCUGUUUACGUGAAUGUUUUUCUAUCAUUUCUCUCAUCUCUUGUUCCUUACCAAAAGAUGGCAGGACUGAUUGAAGUUUAUCAUGAUGUCCGGAUGGUUUAUUGUAAUAUUUUUAAUAGCAGGUUGUGUAUUUUCUACUACUUCAUAGAACACAUGAUCCAACUUAUUCUGUGCGGUUUUCCACUGUCAGACAUAUUUUCCUUUGUUUGGGAGGCAGAUUUUUAUUUGAAUGUGUGUCACAGCCUUCAUUCAAACAUGAUGUAGAGCGGUGGUGCCCAAAGCCGGUCCUCAAGGGUCACAAUCCUGCAUGUUUUAGUUCUCUCCCUGAACUAAAACAUACUGGCUUGAGUACAGAGAAACCAGCGUUUUUCCCUGAACUAACACCUGGAUCCAACAAUGGCUCAUUAGAGGCCUAAGAAGAACAUUUACAUGCUGAAAAUGUUACUACCACCAGGAAGAGAACUAAAACAUGCAGCAUUGCCAGCCCUAGUCAAAAGCUCAUUUAAGAGCCAAAGGCAGGAGCUUAGCACAUGCGGAGGCAACCCAUUUAAGAGGAAAGUCUCUAAAGCCAUGUGACCCACCAUCCUGGCAUUCCACAUUCACGUGCAUCAAUACGUGUCAGCAUAGAAAUCAUUCGGGUGAGGCUAGGUGUAAACAUUCCAGUAUGGCGUCUUCUGGCUCUGAAAGCACAACUACUGAUUCACAAGUACAUCAAGACA